CAGUAGCCGCGGUAAUACGAAGGGUGCAAGCGUUACUCGGAAUUACUGGGCGUAAAGCGUGCGUAGGUGGUUGUUUAAGUCUGCUGUGAAAGCCCUGGGCUCAACCUGGGAAUUGCAGUGGAUACUGGGCGACUAGAGUAAGGUAGAGGAUAGUGGAAUUUCCGGUGUAGCAGUGAAAUGCGUAGAGAUCGGAAGGAACAUCUGUGGCGAAGGCGACUAUCUGGGCCAUUACUGACACUGAGGCACGAAAGCGUGGGGAGCAAACAGGAUUAGAUACCCGCGUAGUCCCUGUCUCUUAUAC
rnacentral:rRNA from 1 species